rnacentral:misc_RNA from 1 species
GAUGAAGAACGCAGCGAAAUGCGAUACGUAAUGUGAAUUGCAGAAUUCAGUGAAUCAUCGAGUCUUUGAACGCACAUUGCGCCCCCUGGUAUUCCGGGGGGCAUGCCUGUCCGAGCGUCAUUGCUGCCCUCAAGCACGGCUUGUGUGUUGGGCCUCCGUCCUCCUCCCGGGGGACGGGCCCGAAAGGCAGCGGCGGCACCGCGUCCGGUCCUCGAGCGUAUGGGGCUUCGUCACCCGCUCUUGUAGGCCCGGCCGGCGCUUGCCGACACAUCAAUCUUUUUUCCAGGUUGACCUCGGAUCAGGUAGGGAUACCCGCUGAACUUAAGCAUAUCAAAAGCGGAGGA